UACGUAGGUGGCGAGCGUUGUCCGGAUUUACUGGGCGUAAAGAGCGCGCAGGCGGCUGGUCAAGUCCGAUGUGAAAGCUCCCGGCUUAACUGGGAAAUUGCAUCGGAAACUGAUCGGCUGGAAGGUGGGAGAGGGUAGCGGAAUUCCCGGUGUAGUGGUGAAAUGCGUAGAUAUCGGGAGGAACACCAGUGGCGAAGGCGGUGCUCUGGGCCGGAACUGACGCUGAGGAGCGAAAGCGUGGGGAGCAAACAGG
rnacentral:rRNA from 1 species